rnacentral:rRNA from 1 species
UACGGAGGAUGCGAGCGUUAUCCGGAUUUAUUGGGUUUAAAGGGUGCGCAGGCGGCACGGCAAGCCGGCGGUCAAAUCGCGGGGCUCAACCCCGCCCAGCCGUCGGAACUGCCGGGCUAGAGUGGGCGAGAAGUGCGCGGAAUGCGUGGUGUAGCGGUGAAAUGCACAGAUAUCACGCAGAACUCCGAUUGCGAAGGCAGCGCACCGGCGCCCUACUGACGCUCAGGCACGAAAGCGUGGGUAUCGAACAGG